CUCUAUAACCCUUUGUGAACAUACCUAACUGUUGCUUCGGCGGGUUAGGGGGUCCCCCCGGGGACGCCCUCCCGGCCGCGCCCUCCUCCUCCGGGAGGGGUCGCGGCGCCCGCCGGAGGAUAACCAAACUCUGAUUUAACGACGUUUCUUCUGAGUGGCACAAGCAAAUAAUUAAAACUUUUAACAACGGAUCUCUUGGUUCUGGCAUCGAUGAAGAACGCAGCGAAAUGCGAUAAGUAAUGUGAAUUGCAGAAUUCAGUGAAUCAUCGAAUCUUUGAACGCACAUUGCGCCCGCCAGCAUUCUGGCGGGCAUGCCUGUUCGAGCGUCAUUUCAACCCUCAAGCUUCGCUUGGUGUUGGGGCACUACGGUUGACGUAGGCCCUCAAAAGUAGUGGCGGACCCUCCCGGAGCCUCCUUUGCGUAGUAACUAACGUCUCGCAUCGGGAUCCGGAGGGACUCUUGCCGUAAAAC
rnacentral:rRNA from 1 species